rnacentral:rRNA from 1 species
UGGGGAAUAUUGCACAAUGGGCGCAAGCCUGAUGCAGCAAUGCCGCGUGAGUGAAGACGGCCUUAGGGUUGUAAAACUCUUUCGCUAGGGAAGAUAAUGACGGUACCUAGUAAAGAAGUCCCGGCUAACUCCGUGCCAGCAGCCGCGGUAAUACGGAGGGGACUAGCGUUGUUCGGAAUUACUGGGCGUAAAGAGUUCGUAGGCGGACUAGCAAGUUAGAGGUGAAAUCCCAGGGCUCAACCUUGGAACUGCCUUUAAAACUGCUAGUCUAGAGACCGGAAGAGGUUAGGGGAAUACCUAGUGUAGAGGUGAAAUUCGUAGAUAUUAGGUGGAACACCAGUGGCGAAGGCGCCUAACUGGUCCGGUACUGACGCUGAGGAACGAAAGCGUGGGGAGCAAACAGGAUUAGAUACCCUGGUAGUCCACGCCGUAAACGAUGAGUGCUAGUCGUCGGCAGGCAUGCCUGUC